CAACCGCAAAAGAAGCAGAGGGGGCUUAGUGGUGGGGUGACUGCGUACCUUUUGUAUAAUGGGUCAGCGACUUAUAUUCUGUAGCAAGGUUAACCGAAUAGGGGAGCCGGAGGGAAACCGAGUCUUAAUUGGGCGUUAAGUUGCAGGGUAUAGACCCGAAACCCGGUGAUCUAGCCAUGGGCAGGUUGAAGGUUGGGUAACACUAACUGGAGGACCGAACCGACUAAUGUUGAAAAAUUAGCGGAUGACCUGUGGCUGGGGGUGAAAGGCCAAUCAAACCGGGAGAUAGCUGGUUCUCCCCGAAAGCUAUUUAGGUAGCGCCUCGUGAAUUCAUCUCCGGGGGUAGAGCACUGUUUCGGCUAGGGGGCCAUCCCGGCUUACCAACCCGAUGCAAACUGCGAAUACCGGAGAAUGUUAUCACGGGAGACACACGGCGGGUGCUAACGUCCGUCGUGAAGAGGGAAACAACCCAGACCGCCAGCUAAGGUCCCAAAGUCAUGGUUAAGUGGGAAACGAUGUGGGAAGGCCCAGACAGCCAGGAUGUUGGCUUAGAAGCAGCCAUCAUUUAAAGAAAGCGUAAUAGCUCACUGGUCGAGUCGGCCUGCGCGGAAGAUGUAACGGGGCUAAACCAUGCACCGAAGCUGCGGCAGCGACGCUGAUGCGUUGUUGGGUAGGGGAGCGUUCUGUAAGCCUGCGAAGGUGGCCUGUGAGGGUUGCUGGAGGUAUCAGAAGUGCGAAUGCUGACAUAAGUAACGAUAAAGCGGGUGAAAAGCCCGCUCGCCGGAAGACCAAGGGUUCCUGUCCAACGUUAAUCGGGGCAGGGUGAGUCGACCCCUAAGGCGAGGCCGAAAGGCGUAGUCGAUGGGAAACGGGUUAAUAUUCCCGUACUUGGUGUUACUGCGAAGGGGGGACGGAGAAGGCUAUGUUGGCCGGGCGACGGUUGUCCCGGUUUAAGCGUGUAGGUGUGUGUUCCAGGUAAAUCCGGUUCACUUUAACACUGAGGCGUGAUGACGAGGCACUACGGUGCUGAAGCAACAAAUGCCCUGCUUCCAGGAAAAGCCUCUAAGCAUCAGGUAACAUCAAAUCGUACCCCAAACCGACACAGGUGGUCAGGUAGAGAAUACCAAGGCGCUUGAGAGAACUCGGGUGAAGGAACUAGGCAAAAUGGUGCCGUAACUUCGGGAGAAGGCACGCUGACACGUAGGUGAAGUGAUUUACUCAUGGAGCUGAAGUCAGUCGAAGAUACCAGCUGGCUGCAACUGUUUAUUAAAAACACAGCACUGUGCAAACACGAAAGUGGACGUAUACGGUGUGACGCCUGCCCGGUGCCGGAAGGUUAAUUGAUGGGGUCAGCGCAAGCGAAGCUCCUGAUCGAAGCCCCGGUAAACGGCGGCCGUAACUAUAACGGUCCUAAGGUAGCGAAAUUCCUUGUCGGGUAAGUUCCGACCUGCACGAAUGGCGUAAUGAUGGCCAGGCUGUCUCCACCCGAGACUCAGUGAAAUUGAACUCGCUGUGAAGAUGCAGUGUACCCGCGGCAAGACGGAAAGACCCCGUGAACCUUUACUAUAGCUUGACACUGAACAUUGAGCCUUGAUGUGUAG
rnacentral:rRNA from 1 species